AAUUCUGCACAGAAAUCUACAAGUUAUUUGAGAAUUUAGAAAGAAGAAUAAUGUUGAAACUGGACCAAAUCCAAAACAACAUUACAUCAGUGGUUGAAACAAUGCAGCAAUCAAUGAACCAGCCAAGCACCUCUGUGUCCGAUCUCACAGAGGUGCUAGAGAAACCAUGCAAGACUGUAGAGGAAUUAGAGGAGUUGUGUGAUAAGCUGAAAGAUGCUGAAUUUCGAAAGAAGAUGAUUCGUUAUCUGUGUCUUCAGAGUGGAGGGAGCUUGGGAGAUAAAAAAAAAUGGAGACAAUUCCUUAUGGGGAUAUUACAGUUACAAAGGGAGAAAGGGAAAACUUAAAUUUCAGCAGCUCCUCAUCAAUGAUGUCAUCAUACGUGCCUGCAGCAAGGCAUACCCAAACCAAAAAUCCCAGAGUGUGGAAGAGAUGAUUGCUGUCACCCUAAAACAUGCCCCGGAUCGUGAAAAAACAGUUAAUCAGGUUAGAAACCAACAGGAGCUACCAUCAGAAUAACGCAGAGACACAGCUGCUUUGCUUGAC